rnacentral:rRNA from 1 species
AGUGAACGCUGGCGGCGUGCUUAACACAUGCAAGUCGAACGAGAACGGGUUAUAGCUUGCUAUAAUUGUCAGCUAAGUGGCGCACGGGUGAGUAAUGUAUAGGUAAUAUGCCUCUUACUAAGGGAUAACAAAUGGAAACGUUUGCUAAUACCUUAUACUCCUUAUUAACAGAAGUUAAUAAGGGAAAGAUUUAUUGGUAAGAGAUUAGCCUGUAUUGUAUCAGUUAGUUGGUGGGGUAAUGGCUUACCAAGACUAUGACACAUAACUGGUUUGAGAGGAUGAUCAGUCACACUGGAACUGAGACACGGUCCAGACUCCUACGGGAGGCAGCAGUGGGGAAUAUUGCACAAUGGACGAAAGUCUGAUGCAGCAACGCCGCGUGGAGGAUGACACAUUCCGGUGCGUAAACUCCCUUUAUAUGAGAAGAUAAUGACGGUAUUAUAUGAAUAAGCACCGGCUAACUCCGUGCCAGCAGCCGCAGUAACAC